rnacentral:misc_RNA from 1 species
UGUGGGAGCGAGCCUGCUCGCGAUGGCGGCGGCACAGUCAACAUUUCUAUAGUUGAGACACCGCUAUCGCGAGCAGGCUCGCUCCCACA